UGGAGGAAUAUGGAACAGAGAAAGGUUUAGUGCAAGGCCAUGCCAAGAGAUGGGUGGCUCAUGCCUUAAAACACCCAAACUGCCUGAAAGCUUUCAGUGAAGCCUUUUUUUUAGGAAAGGUGAAGGAGGGCGUGGUUAGUUGUUAGAAACAUCUUGGGGUCACAUCCUUUCUUUUCCAGGUCCGGUCAUGGACAGGUAAAGAUGUUCCUGUAAAUCUCUACCACAGAAAUGUCAUGCUCUGUCUUAACGAGGAAGAGCAAGGUCCCUAGGUACAACUUUUCCCCUCUGAGGUCCCAGUCCUGGCUAAAAGGAGGCAGCUCUCUGUUGGCGGCUCCCGCAGGGCCAGGUCCCCAGACCCUGCCCAGCUGUCUUGCCGAGGGAGCCAGGCACCCGGGACCCAACUGUCCCUCAGGCUCCUCAGGCUGCCCAGACGCACCAUGGGAAGGGCAGGUCCCACAGGCUGCAUCCUAUGCAGACUGCCACUGUCAUCAGGUCACAGAGGUGGGGCCCGGGGAGAGGUUCAGAGCCUUGCUGAGGGGUCUGGAGCCCUGCAGGACAGUCCCCAGCCUGCUCCCUGGGAGCACCACUCACCCGCUGACCUAGGGCCGGGCAUCCCCACUGAAUAAAGUUGGCUUGAGUGAUCAAGAGAAUGUCAUGGGGAUGACUGAGUGGGACUUCCAAGGCUCAUGAAAGAAACUGUGGCCUGUGAUUGAUCUCUUCUGGAUCAUCAUUCACUUUGAAGGAAGCUACUGCCACAUCAUGAAGACACCUGCGAGGUCCUAGGAGAGGCACAUGUGGUGGGGAACAGAGACCUCUUACCGACAUCCAGCAACACUCUCACCAAUACUUGGUAGCCACGCUGGAAAGCCUUCUUGAGAGAUCUUCCAGUCCAGCUCUGCCGCUCUGGCUGACAUCUUGACUGCAACCCCUUGAGAGAUCCCAAGCCAGGAUCAUUCGGCUAAGUUCUUCCCAAAUCCCUCAACCAUGGAAACUGUGUGAGGACCCUGGAAUUUUCCAAAAGACAGAAUGAUGAACAACACAUCUUUAUACCUGCCAUCAUACAGAGCCAGCCAUCUUGCUGAGAGAAGACCUCAACCUGGGCCGCUGUGCAUGGUCUGGAAGCUGUAGCAUUCCUGUUUAGUGGAUCACGUUCCCUGCAUGGCAGCCUCUCUUCCACUGAACUGACAUUCCGCCCCCAAUGUCAUCUGUGAUAUCAGCAUCUGUAGCAGCUGCUGCUUCUUCCGGCUGAGAAAUCUCAAUGUUUGCCUUGAAAAUGUCAACCCUUCACCUCUCUCAACAUUCAGACUCACUCAUCAGUUCAUUUCCAGCUGCCCUUAAAAGUAUUCAGAAUAAAUGAUGCACAAAGGACAGUUUAAACACAGCAAAGCAGUUGUAGGCAAGUCAUCUCCAGUUCAGCAGCCUGGUCUUCCUUAACCACAAGUAUCACAUUUUCAUUUAAAUGCAUUUCUGGCACAGGAGCCCUUGGCUAUGUAUCUGCUUUGGCAAUUGGAGAACACUUGGCAGCUACCAAGCACAAUGGGGAGAAACAUCCCGAAAAAGAGUGGGUGAAGAGGGCAUUCAGUGGUAGGUUAUCCUGAAUUGUCUUUCCUUUGUUUUUCAUCCAUACUGCUCCAUCGUCAAGUUGGAAUUUACCUUGGAAAAAGCUAGUAAUUUGUUUCUUCCCUGCUGACAGAAAUUUCAUUGUUGAUCUCCAGGGCAUCCUUGUGCCAUGACCACAUUAGGUCUUACUCAAGGUUCUCAAGUUUAUAUUUUAAUAUUGAAAGUUAGAAUAUGAUAGGACCAAUGGAAGAGUUUAUCAUAAAAAAGAAACGGAAAGAUACAUCCAUCUGAAUGCAGAGUUCCAAAGAAUAGCAAGGAAAGAAAAGAAACACUUCCUAAGGGAUCAAUGCAAAGAAAUAGAGGAAAACAACAGUAUGUGAAGGAGUAGAGAUCUUUACAAGGAAAUUAGAGACACCCAGGGAACACUUCAUGCAAAGAUGGGCACAAUAAAGGACAAA